rnacentral:piRNA from 1 species
UUCAUUCAAGGUCUCCUCACUGAAGCUGG